AUGGACACCACUGUCGUGAUCGUGUCGCUCAUGUUUCUUCAGCUCCUAGUGACAGCACUGGCCGCUCCGAUCGCCUUGCCUGGCUGCCCGGAGACCUGCGGCGACGUCACCGUGCCCUACCCAUUCGGCACCCGCAAGGGCUGCUUCCGCCAGGGCUUCGACCUCACCUGCGACGGGACGCGCCAUCCACCAAAGCUGUCCCUGGGCGGUGACCAUGGCGCGGAGGUGGUCGGCAUCUCUUUGCCGGACGGCACGGUGCGGAUCCGCACCAGGAUUCUCGACACGAGCUCCCUCCAGCAGCUCAACGGCACAUGGUCCGCCGGCCUGCGGCCCGGCGGGCCCCUGGCGCUGUCGGCCAGGCACAACCGCUUCGUCGCCAUGGGAUGCAACCUCCUCGCCAACCUCGUGGCGCACGACACGUUAUACUCCGCCAGCGACCGCAUCGGCGUCUGCGCGGCGCUCUGCGUGUCCCGCUCCGCGCUGCUGCCGCCGAGGGACGCCUCCUCCGCCUCCUGCUCCGGCGUCGGUUUUCGGAGACUAUAUGAAAAAGGAUGGUGUAGCUGUUCUCUAGGAUACGAUGGCAACGCAUACAUCACUGAUGGGUGCCAAGUUAUAUGUUAGUAGGUAGUUUCUUACAUAUUUGCAGUAGUUAUAUCAUUACAAGAGAACAUGUGUGUCCUAUCUUUGUUUAUUUUUCCAUUUGAUAUAUAAAGCCUCCUGCGUUCCAACAAUGUAUUUUUUCCUUCAGAUAUCGACGAGUGCCUACAACCAGAAGUUUAUCCCUGCAAUGGUACCUGUGUCAAUAUGCAAGGGACAUACCGUUGCUCAGCAAAGAAAAACAUCAUUAACUUAGCAGGUCCAUUUACCAUAACAGCAAUUGUUGUUGGUUUUGGCCUACUAUUUUCACUCCUGGGUGUUGCCCAAGUCACAAAAAAACUCAAGAAACGAAGAGCCAAGAAGUUUAGACAAAAGUUGUUUAGGAAAAACCAUGGAUUUCUUCUGCAACAGUUGAUCUCUUCAAACAAAGAUAUAGCCGAAAAGAUGAAGAUUUUCAGCUUAAAAGAGCUAGAGCAAGCAACCAACAAAUUUGACCAUAACCGUAUCCUUGGUGACGGUGGGCAUGGCACGGUGUAUAAAGGCAUCUUAUCUGAUCAACGUGUUGUGGCCAUCAAGAAGGCCAAAAAUGUUGUGCAGAGGGAAAUUGACGAGUUUAUAAAUGAGGUUGUUAUACUUUCACAGACAAACCAUAGGAAUGUGGUGAAGCUCUUUGGUUGCUGCCUCGAGACAGAAGUUCCUCUGCUAGUUUAUGAGUUCAUUUCAAAUGGAACUCUCUCGUCUUAUCUCCAUGGCCAACUUGAGAACCAUUUGUCAUGGAAAGAUCGAUUGAGGAUUGCAUUGGAAACUGCCAAGGCUAUUGCAUAUCUACACUCAGCUGCUUCCAUAUCAGUAUACCAUAGAGACAUCAAAUGCGCCAAUAUACUACUUACCGACGCUUUAACAGCAAAAGUAUCAGAUUUUGGAGCUUCGAGGUCAAUUGCAAUAGACGAAACAGGAAUACUUACAGUCGUGCAAGGAACCUAUGGUUACCUUGAUCCUGAAUACUACUACACUAGUCGACUGACAGAGAAGAGUGAUGUUUACAGCUUUGGUGUGAUCCUAGCAGAGCUACUAACGGGGGUUACACCAGUUUUUUCUUCUCAUUCAUCGGAAGCCACAAGCCUAGCAUCACACUUUGUAUCACUAAUGAGAGACAAUUGUCUGUUAGCUAUUCUAGAUACACAAAUUGUUCUUGAAGGAGGAGUUGAAGAUGUUGAGGUGGUUGCAAGACUUGCACAUGCAUGCUUAAGCUUAAAAGGGGAAGAAAGACCUACAAUGAGGGAAGUUGAGACAAUACUUGAAGAUGUCCAAAGCUCAAAUAUCCAUCACAAUUCUCAAACAAUAAGAGUGGGCCAGAGUCCUCUAAAAGACCAGCCAUGGAAGGGGAACAAUGGUGGCGAAGGAAGUAGAGUAUAUAGCUUGGAAAAGGAGUUCAUCCAUUCAUUGGAAAUUCCAAUAUGA
rnacentral:rRNA from 1 species